rnacentral:rRNA from 1 species
AGUGAACGCUGGCGGUAGGCCUAACACAUGCAAGUCGAACGGCAGCACCGUAAGAGCUUGAUAUUACGGGUGGCGAGUGGAGGAAGAGUGAGGAAUACAUCGGAAUCUACUUUUAUGUGGGGGAUAACGUAGGGCAACUUACGCUAAUACCUCAUACGACCUACGGGUGAAAGCAGGGGCUCUUCGGGCCUUGCGCGAUUGAGUGAGCCGUUGUCGGAUUAGUUAGUUGACGGGGUACAGGCCCACCAAGGCGACGCUCCGUAGCUGGUCUGAGAGGAUGAUCAGCCACACUGGAACUGAUACACGGUCCAGGCGCCUGCGGGAGGCAGCAGUGGGGAACAUUGGACAAUGGGCGCAAGCCUGAUCCAGCCAUACCGCGUGGGUGAAGAAGGCCUUCGGGUUGUAAAGCCCUUUUUUUGGGAAAGAAAAGCAGCAGGUUAAUACCACGCGGUUCUGACGGUACCCAAAGAAUAAGCACCGGCUAACUUCGUG